rnacentral:lncRNA from 1 species
UCCCCACUAGGAAAACAUCACAGAAAACAAGUCAGCUUCCUGGUUCACAGGAUGCUGUCUGCAGAAAAUUUGGGGAUGGCAUUUGCAAAGGUCUCCUGAGCAGACUGAGGGAUCUGGACUUAAUGUACUCCACGUGCCAAAUCAUCAGGGAUCGUUCUGCUACCUGGGCUCAGCCUGCAGAGACAGAAGUCAGACUUUGGCACAGAGGCAGACCGUCAGGGGCAUGUUUUCUGAGAGCCAUCCUACCCUAGAACUAGGGGUGGUGGAGCUUGUAGGAAAAAAGAAGCUUGAGACAUUAUAGACUGUCAGAACGGCUGCACCUUGAAUGCCUGUGUUGUUGGACAUCACAAGGCCCCCUUACCCACGAAGCUUUCAGGCCAUUCACAAAAGAGUGACCGAUAGCCGAGAAGGGCGGAUAUGGAGUGGUUGCAGACUGAAAUGAGCUGCGCCUGCUGCUGGCUUCCUACCAAAAGGAGUGCUCUUAGAAACAAGCCCACUCUGCUUAUCAUGCUGUGGAGGGCACACUACUUCAUCGCGGCGGGGAGAUUGGGCCGGGACGCCCACCCCAUUGCCCAACAUUUCAUACCGGCCAAGGGAAGGAGAUGGAGGCCCAGAGAAGUGGAAGGUGAUUCAGCCAGAAGUGCAGAACUAAGAAUCACAGCAAGUGUGUCAUUCUCUAAAAAAUAAAAUAAAAUGAGCACAU